ensembl:misc_RNA Metazoa_SRP Metazoan signal recognition particle RNA
UCUGGGCACAGUGGUGCAUACCUAUAGUACCAGCCACUCAGGAGGCUGAGGCAGGAGGAUGACUUGAGUCACAGGAAUUCUGGGUUUUAGUGCAUUAUACCAUUUGGGUGUCUGCAUUAACUUCAGCAUUAGUGCAGUGACCCCUCAGAAGCAGGGGACCACCAGGUUGCCCAAGGAGGGUGUACCGGCCCGGGUAGCAAAUAGAGCAGAUCAAAUAACUCUCCUAUGCUGAUCAGUAGUGGGAUUGCACCUGUAAAAAGCCACUGCACUCCAGCCUGGACAACAUAGUGAAACCCGUCUCU